AGAACGAACGCUGGCGGCGUGGAUAAGACAUGCAAGUCGAACGCGAUUUAUCGAGUUAGCAAUAACUUGGUAAAUUGAGUGGCGAAAGGGUGCGUAACACGUGGGAAUUUACCGAGAAGUGGGGAAUAGCUUGACGAAAGUCAAAUUAAUACCGCAUGUGAUCGAAAGAUCAAAGCCGGGGACCGCAAGGCCUGGCGCUUCUUGAGAAGCCCGCGGCCCAUCAGCUAGUUGGCGGGGUAAAAGCCCACCAAGGCUAUGACGGGUAGCUGGUCUGAGAGGACGACCAGCCACACUGGAACUGAGACACGGUCCAGACACCUACGGGUGGCAGCAGUCGAGAAUUUUCACAAU
rnacentral:rRNA from 1 species